rnacentral:rRNA from 1 species
UACGGGGGGAGCAAGCGUUGUUCGGAUUUACUGGGCGUAAAGGGCGCGUAGGCGGCCUGCUAAGUCGGACGUGAAAUCCCUCGGCUCAACCGAGGAACUGCGUCCGAUACUGGUGGGCUUGAAUCCGGGAGAGGGAUGUGGAAUUCCAGGUGUAGCGGUGAAAUGCGUAGAUAUCUGGAGGAAUACCGGUGGCGAAGGCGGCAUCCUGGACCGACAUUGACGCUGAACGGCGAAAGCUAGGGGAGCAAACGGG